rnacentral:rRNA from 1 species
CCUACGGGAGGCAGCAGUGAGGAAUAUUGGUCAAUGGACGAGAGUCUGAACCAGCCAAGUAGCGUGAAGGAUGACUGCCCUAUGGGUUGUAAACUUCUUUUAUAAAGGAAUAAAACGAGGCACGUGUGCCUUUUUGCAUGUACUUCAUGAAUAAGGAUCGGCUAACUCCGUGCCAGCAGCCGCGGUAAUACGGAGGAUCCGAGCGUUAUCCGGAUUUAUUGGGUUUAAAGGGAGCGUAGAUGGGUUGUUAAGUCAGUUGUGAAAGUUUGCGGCUCAACCGUAAAAUUGCAAUUGAUACUGGCAGUCGUGAGUACAGUUGAGGUAAGCGGAAUUCGUGGUGUAGCGGUGAAAUGCUUAGAUAUCACGAAGAACCCCGAUUGCGAAGGCAGCUUACUAAACUGUGACUGACAUUGAUGCUCGAAAGUGUGGGUAUCAAACAGGAUUAGAUACCCGGGUAGUC